rnacentral:rRNA from 1 species
CCUACGGGAGGCAGCAGUGGGGAAUAUUGGGCAAUGGGCGCAAGCCUGACCCAGCAACGCCGCGUGAAGGAAGAAGGCUUUCGGGUUGUAAACUUCUUUUGUCAGGGACGAAGCAAGUGACGGUACCUGACGAAUAAGCCACGGCUAACUACGUGCCAGCCGCCGCGGUAAUACGUAGGUGGCAAGCUUUAUCCGGAUUUGUUGGGUGUAAAGGGCGUGUAGGCGGGAAUGCAAGUCAGAUGGGAAAACUAUGGGCUCAACACAUAGCCUGGAUUUUAAACUGUAUUUCUUGAGUGCUUGAGAGGUAAUCGGAAUUUCGUGUGUAGCGGUGAAAUGCGUAGAUAUACGGAGGAACACCAGUGGCGAAGGCGGAUUGCUGGACAGUAACUGACGCUGAGGCGCGAAAGCGUGGGGAGCAAACAGGAUUAGAUACCCUAGUAGUC